rnacentral:rRNA from 1 species
CCUACGGGUGGCAGCAGUGGGGAAUAUUGCACAAUGGGGGAAACCCUGAUCCAGCGACGUCGCGUGAGUGAUGAAGUAUUUCGGUAUGUAAAGCUCUAUUAGCAGGGAAGAAACAAGACGGUACCGGACGAAGAAGCACAGGCUAACUACGUGCAGGCAGGCGAGGUACUCCGUAGGGGGCACGCGUUAUCCGGAGUUACCGGGGGUAAACGGAGGUUAUACGGUGCGGCAAGUCUGAAGUGAAAGGCAGGGGCUUAACGCGUGAGCUGCUUUGGAAACUGCCAUGCUAGAGUGCUGGUGAGGUAAGUGGAAUUCCUAGUGUAGCGGUGAAAUGCGUAGAUAUGAGGAGGAACACCAGUGGCGAAGGCGGCUUACUGGACAGUAACUGACGUUGAGGCUCGAAAGCGUGGGGAGCAAACAGGAUUAGAUACCCGUGUAGUC